rnacentral:rRNA from 1 species
GACGAACGCUGGCGGCGUGCUUAACACAUGCAAGUCGAACGGAAAGGCCCUGCUUUUGUGGGGUGCUCGAGUGGCGAACGGGUGAGUAACACGUGAGUAACCUGCCCUUGACUUUGGGAUAACUUCAGGAAACUGGGGCUAAUACCGGAUAGGAGCUCCUGCUGCAUGGUGGGGGUUGGCACGUUUCGGCGGUUGGGGAUGGACUCGCGGCUUAUCAGCUUGUUGGUGGGGUAGUGGCUUACCAAGGCUUUGACGGGUAGCCGGCCUGAGAGGGUGACCGGCCACAUUGGGACUGAGAUACGGCCCAGACUCCUACGGGAGGCAGCAGUGGGGAAUAUUGCACAAUGGGCGGAAGCCUGAUGCAGCAACGCCGCGUGCGGGAUGAAGGCCUUCGGGUUGUAAACCGCUUUCGCCUGUGACGAAGCGUGAGUGACGGUAAUGGGUAAAGAAGCACCGGCUAACUACGUG